rnacentral:rRNA from 1 species
GUCGUAACAAGGUUUCCGUAGGUGAACCUGCGGAAGGAUCAUUGAUGAGCCCGAGAGCAACCGCGAACCCGAUGCAUGUGCCUGCGGGAGGCGCCGACCGGCGUCGCCCGCAACGCCCGUCCCCUUCCUCGUCGGUAGGGGUCGUGGCGCACGAGGAUCCCACCAGGCGCCGCGCGCGCGCCAAGGAACGGAAACGCGGGGGUCACGCACCCCCGACGAGUCUUUGUAGAAGCAAACGACUCUCGGCAACGGAUAUCUCGGCUCUCGUAUCGAUGAAGAACGUAGCAAAAUGCGAUACUUGGUGUGAAUUGCAGAAUCCCGUGAACCACCGAAUCUUUGAACGCAAGUUGCGCCCGAGGUGUUUCCACCGAGGGCAUGCCUCCCUGGGCUUCACGCAUCGCGUCGCCCCAUCUCGAUUUCAUCGUGGUGGGAGCGUAAUGUGGCAUCCCGUGCGCGCAUCCGUGCCGCGGCCUGCCGAAAUGCCUCGCGUCUGGUACCCCGCACAGGACGCCACGAGCAACGGUGGUCGGGUCGU